UGACCUCGGAUCAGGU
rnacentral:rRNA from 17 species